ensembl:snoRNA
AGCCCUUGUGUGUGUCUUUGUUUUAAUUUGUAACAAGGCCUUAUAAACAGGUGCAACCAGUAAAUCCUCUUCUGCAACCCAGAACUCAUUGCUCAUAUGAGAUUUUGGUACAUGUAAGAAGGAAUAUG